rnacentral:rRNA from 1 species
UACGUAGGGGGCAAGCGUUAUCCGGAAUUAUUGGGCGUAAAGAGCUCGUAGGCGGUUUGUCGCGUCUGCCGUGAAAGUCCGGGGCUCAACUCCGGAUCUGCGGUGGGUACGGGCAGACUAGAGUGAUGUAGGGGAGACUGGAAUUCCUGGUGUAGCGGUGAAAUGCGCAGAUAUCAGGAGGAACACCGAUGGCGAAGGCAGGUCUCUGGGCCGUAACUGACGCUGAGGAGCGAAAGCAUGGGGAGCGAACAGG